UGGCAUUUCGUUUGGUGCUCGAGCUCGUCCAGGAUGUCUGGGAUGUGUGGUUAUAUCUGAUUUCUGAGCUCUGGGCGUGGAGGUCUGUCUGCAGAGGCCCGGGCCUGGGCACAAAGGGAGAGGGGCCUCCAUUGUCCCGCAGGGGCCAAAAUGCAGACCGUGCAUCCCCGGUGACCUCGGGGACCGUUCUCUGAUCAUCAGGAUUUUCUUGGACUCUGGGGUCCUUGUCCUGCUCAGGCAUCCCUGCCCCGCUCUCCUUGAGGGCCCUCAACACUAUCUUCCCUGGACACAAGUCUGGGGACAGCCGGGUGUUGUGGACCCCAAAGGGGUGACUACCUGCUCCUGGGCCCCACAGAGUCCUUGUGCUCAGUGUAGUGGCUGAGCUGGGGGAUGCCCUGGAACUCGGAGCACACAGCACUGGCUUACUGUGGUACCUGUGCAGUGAAAUUGAAGACAGAAUCACCAGGAUGGAACACAGGUCUUGCAGGAUCACGGAAAACCUUCUUAGAGUUGUCUUGACACCACUGAUGUCGAGUGUGCGGGUGUU
rnacentral:lncRNA from 1 species